rnacentral:rRNA from 1 species
UACGUAGGGUGCAAGCGUUGUCCGGAAUUAUUGGGCGUAAAGAGCUCGUAGGCGGUUUGUCGCGUCUGCUGUGAAAACUGGAGGCUCAACCUCCAGCCUGCAGUGGGUACGGGCAAACUAGAGUGCGGUAGGGGAGAUUGGAAUUCCUGGUGUAGCGGUGAAAUGCGCAGAUAUCAGGAGGAACACCGGUGGCGAAAGCGGGUCUCUGGGCAACAACUGACGCUGAGGAGCGAAAGCGUGGGGAGCGAACAGG